rnacentral:rRNA from 1 species
GACGAACGCUGGCGGCGCGCCUAACACAUGCAAGUCGAACGAGCGAGAGAGAGCUUGCUUUCUCAAGCGAGUGGCGAACGGGUGAGUAACGCGUGAGGAACCUGCCUCAAAGAGGGGGACAACAGUUGGAAACGACUGCUAAUACCGCAUAAGCCCACGACCCGGCAUCGGGUAGAGGGAAAAGGAGCAAUCCGCUUUGAGAUGGCCUCGCGUCCGAUUAGCUAGUUGGUGAGGUAACGGCCCACCAAGGCGACGAUCGGUAGCCGGACUGAGAGGUUGAACGGCCACAUUGGGACUGAGACACGGCCCAGACUCCUACGGGAGGCAGCAGUGGGGAAUAUUGCACAAUGGGGGAAACCCUGAUGCAGCGACGCCGCGUGGAGGAAGAAGGUCUUCGGAUUGUAAACUCCUGUUGUUAAGGAAGAUAAUGACGGUACUCAAAAAGGAAGUGACGGCUAACUACGUG